rnacentral:rRNA from 1 species
GUGAAACCUAAAGGCGGAAUGAAAGUAAAGGAAAAGUCCUUUUCUGAGGGGAGAUGGGUGUACGUCCGCUUGUCGGAGUCAUCCCGCAUUCCCGGGGCGUCUCUUUCUCAUUGCGAGUGGAGGCGCACCUAGAGCGCACACGUUGGGACCCGAAAGAUGGUGAACUAUGCCUGGCCAGGACGAAGCCAGGGGAAACCCUGGUGGAGGUCCGCAGCGAUUCUGACGUGCAAAUCGAUCGUCAGAGCUGGGUAUAGCGGCGGAAGACUAAUCGAACCAUCUAGUAGCUGGUUCCCUCCGAAGUUUCCCUCAGGAUAGCUGGCGCUCGAGUGUGACGAGUCUCACCUGGUAGAGCGAAUGAUUAGAGGCCUUGGGGUCGAAACGACCUCAACCUAUUCUCAAACUCCAAACAGAUGAGAACCCCGGCUUGCUUGAAAGUGAAGCCAAGGGCUCUGAUCAGAGUGCCAAGUGGGCCAAUUUU